UACAGAGGUCUCGAGCGUUAGGCGGAAUCACUGGGCUUAAAGCGUGUGUAGGUGGAUGCCUAAGUACCUUGUGAAAUCCCACGGCUUAACCCCGGGCGUGCAGUGGAUACGGGCUGGCUGGAGGCAGGCAGGGGAGAACGGAAUUCCCGGUGUAGCGGUGAAAUGCGCAGAUAUCGGGAGGAACACCGGUGGCGAAGGCGGUUCUCUGGGCCUGUACUGACGCUGAGGAGCGAAAGCGUGGGGAGCGAACAGG
rnacentral:rRNA from 1 species